GAUGGCUAAAGUGUAAAGUACAAGGCUGAUAAAGGGAGCUGGCCGGAGAAGUACAAAGAAAUAUUGUCGGUUUUCCCAACACCUGCAGAGAACCCUUAAGGCAGCAGCUUUUCCCUGGAAAUGCAAAGUCUGGUCUUUGUCUGAUUAGGAAGCUGGCUGUGAGCGGCUGUAGUAGUAGAGGUCUUUCAAGUUCUUUAAGUCUUUAUUGGUCGGAGGGCCUGGGAACUUUGCAGGAGGGGGUGGGGGGUGGGAAAGGAAGCCGAGAAAAGGCAAGUGCAAGAUAAAGGGAAGUGCAGUUUCCGAACCGGGCUAACUCUUUUCUCUCUGCCUGAGCGGUGUCUGGCGGGUCUCUCCUCCAACUUGGCCCGGCCGACCUCCUCAGUGGACCCCAAUGGCCAACCACAGAUGCGGUUCAGUGUCUGAGGAGGAACCCUGCUGCGACAUUUCCAAGAAAACCAAGAUCUGUCUCUGCGUCUUUUUUGGUCUCCUGGUCGCGGUGAUCAUCGCGGUGCCGGUCGGUAUCCUGAUGUGGCGCCAUCCGCUCCAGGAGUGGAAGGGGAAGGGCACCACUGCCCAUUUUUACGAGAUCCUCCUGGGACGGUGCUACACUUAUACUCAAAUCGUGCGACCUGAGCUGGGACAUAAAGACUGCCAAAAGAUAGGGAAGGCGUUCACAACUGCAUUUCUUUCUAAGGACCCUUGCAGCAGCACGGAACAGGACUACCAGCCCCUCCUGGAGCUGACCGCUCAAACUGUCCCUUGCAACAAGACCCUCUUUUGGAGCAAAUCCAGCCAGCUGGCCCAUGACUACACGCGGGUCCAGGGGGACCUGUUCACCCUGGAGGACACACUGCUGGGCUACAUGGCGGAUGGCCUCAAGUGGUGUGGAGACCCGCGCUCUUCAGAAAUGAACUAUCAGUCUUGUCCAGACUGGAGGGAAGACUGCAGCAACAACUCGUUUUCUGUGUUCUGGAAUGCAGUGUCCAAAAGGUUCGCAGAAGACGCCUGUGGUGUGGUCCAUGUGGUGCUCAAUGGGUCCAUCAGUAACACCUUUGAUGAAAGAAGCACUUUUGGACGCGUGGAAGUCUUUAAUUUGCGUCCAGAGAAGGUUCAUCAACUACAGGCCUGGGUGAUGCAUGACAUUGGAGGUGUUCACAGUGACUCCUGUUCCAGUUCCUCCGUAAAUAAUCUGAAACGGAUUCUAAAGGAAAGGAGUAUUGCAUUUUCUUGCCAGAAUAAUUACGGGUAAUUGACUUCUUAAAAAAGCAAUGGCUGUCUUGCCGACUGUAGGUAUUUUCCUCUCCUUGGCCUCCUCUGAGCCAGGAGGGCUGUGGAAACCCCUCUUGGGCCUUGUUGGUGAUCCGGAAUGGUGACCUAUGGUGUGCGUUCCUUCUCCCCCGCCCACCCUACGAGCUGUUUCCAGCCAGGGUCCUUCUGUUGACCACCUUUCCCCCAACAUCCUCUUCUUUCUUCUCCACCUGUCCCUGACCAUUGAUUUGCCUCUGAAGCGGGACCCAGCCUUUGAGAACGUAUUUUCUGGUUUCCCACAUGAGACGCCUGACCCAGGGCUUGCAAACCUGUUGGCUUUCAGGGGAGUGGAAGCAUGUUUUGUCCAAUGCAAAGGAUUUUUAAAAUCCUUGUGACACAGCGGUGUUUUGCAUGUGUGGUUUCUUUAGUUGGAUCUCGGUGUAGAUCCCUAACACUUGAUAAGUUGCUACAUGGAUGUCUACCAAACUUUAUCUUUUAUAAAUUAGACAAUGCAAGUAAGAUCUAAUUUCUUUUUUUCUUUUUCUUUUCUUUUUUUUUUUUUUGCCAGUAGUACACAUUCAUUGGGGAAAAGUUUAAAAUUACAGAUGGUAUAUAUAUUUAUCUGCAACUCUGUUAUCCAACUGGGACCCUCACUCACUUUUAAGUAGUUGUAGCAGGGACUCCUUGCUAGAAGCAUCUUUGGAGAUUUGCCUGCCUAUCAGGCUUCUCCAGUGUGUGAAAAAUCCUGAGCCUUCAUCUUGCAGAUUUUAUGUAUGAGCCAAUCAGCAUGCUCGAUUCGGAUCUUUGAGCCUUACAUACCCAUCGCACGUGUGACUCAGGAGACACGCUGUUGGGAAGCUGAGGACUUGGGGGGGAUCUUCUGUCAUAAUGCCAACACUAGAGUUGGAAGCCUUUCCCCCAAAGUUUUAAAAUAACAUGUUGUUGCCAUAGUUUUUAUUUUGAUUUCCUAAUAAUCAAAAAAAUUAUGGUAUAAAAUUAGAAUGAAAAUUUUAUAUUAAGUUAUUUCAUUUUAAUUUUCAUAGGUGCUUUUAUGUGGUUUAUAUGUUAGUAGCAUCCUUUCUAUUGUAAAUGACUAUACCAAACCUCUCUUACUGGUGCAGAUAAUUAAGGGAUGGUAAAUGCUCAUGAAUGACCUUGUCUCAGGAUCUAUUUUUGUACCCUUUCUACAAAUAAAGUAUAAAUGCUAUA